rnacentral:lncRNA from 1 species
UUUUCGGGCUUUUAUUGUAUUCAAUCCCUUGAUACCUCGAAAGCAUGAAAGCCGCUGCUAUCUUCUUUCCAGGUCUCCAGUUGAUUGAAUAGGGGCAGCUGUAAUACCCCAAAAUUUACCCUUCAUUUUUCCUUGAACAUACGCUUUACGCCUCAUGCAUGCAUUCAUUUUUAGGUCAUUUAGCAUUUGCACUUCAUCAUGGCAAUCGGAAUAUUUAAAAAAUAAUAAUAAUAAUAAUAAAAAAAACGAAAAAAAAAUGAAAAACGAAAAAAAUAUUAAAAUAAAAUAAAAACAAAAUAAAUAAAUUAAAAAAAAAAUCUUGGACUUGGACCUCUCUCAUUUGAGCCCACAGGUCCACAAAAAUCAGGUUAUAAAAUCAGAGUUUCAGUGAAACAAAAGGCAAUUCUAUUCCUAUUACCCUGACUGGAAAAA